rnacentral:rRNA from 1 species
GAUGAACGCUAGCUACAGGCUUAACACAUGCAAGUCGAGGGGCAGCAUGGUCUUAGCCUGCUAAGGCCGAUGGCGACCGGCGCACGGGUGAGUAACACGUAUCCAACCUGCCGUCUACUCUUGGACAGCCUUCUGAAAGGAAGAUUAAUACAAGAUGGCAUCAUGAGUCCACAUGUUCACAUGAUUAAAGGUAUUCCGGUAGACGAUGGGGAUGCGUUCCAUUAGAUAGUAGGCGGGGUAACGGCCCACCUAGUCUUCGAUGGAUAGGGGUUCUGAGAGGAAGGUCCCCCACAUUGGAACUGAGACACGGUCCAAACUCCUACGGGAGGCAGCAGUGAGGAAUAUUGGUCAAUGGGCGAGAGCCUGAACCAGCCAAGUAGCGUGAAGGAUGACUGCCCUAUGGGUUGUAAACUUCUUUUAUAAAGGAAUAAAGUCGGGUAUGGAUACCCGUUUGCAUGUACUUUAUGAAUAAGGAUCGGCUAACUCCGUGCCAGCAGCCGCGGUAAUACGGAGGAUCCGAGCGUUAUCCGGAUUUAUUGGGUUUAAAGGGAGCGUAGAUGGAUGUUUAAGUCAGUUGUGAAAGUUUGCGGCUCAACCGUAAAAUUGCAGUUGAUACUGGAUAUCUUGAGUGCAGUUGAGGCAGGCGGAAUUCGUGGUGUAGCGGUGAAAUGCUUAGAUAUCACGAAGAACUCCGAUUGCGAAGGCAGCCUGCUAAGCUGCAACUGACAUUGAGGCUCGAAAGUGUGGGUAUCAAACAGGAUUAGAUACCCUGGUAGUCCACACGGUAAACGAUGAAUACUCGCUGUUUGCGAUAUACAGCAAGCGGCCAAGCGAAAGCGUUAAGUAUUCCACCUGGGGAGUACGCCGGCAACGGUGAAACUCAAAGGAAUUGACGGGGGCCCGCACAAGCGGAGGAACAUGUGGUUUAAUUCGAUGAUACGCGAGGAACCUUACCCGGGCUUAAAUUGCAGAUGAAUUACGGUGAAAGCCGUAAGCCGCAAGGCAUCUGUGAAGGUGCUGCAUGGUUGUCGUCAGCUCGUGCCGUGAGGUGUCGGCUUAAGUGCCAUAACGAGCGCAACCCUUGUUGUCAGUUACUAACAGGUUCCGCUGAGGACUCUGACAAGACUGCCAUCGUAAGAUGUGAGGAAGGUGGGGAUGACGUCAAAUCAGCACGGCCCUUACGUCCGGGGCUACACACGUGUUACAAUGGGGGGUACAGAGGGCCGCUACCACGCGAGUGGAUGCCAAUCCCAAAAACCUCUCUCAGUUCGGACUGGAGUCUGCAACCCGACUCCACGAAGCUGGAUUCGCUAGUAAUCGCGCAUCAGCCACGGCGCGGUGAAUACGUUCCCGGGCCU